rnacentral:tRNA from 1 species
UGCAGGGUGGAGCAGCCUGGUAGCUCGUCAGGCUCAUAACCUGAAGGUCGUCAGUUCAAAUCUGACCCCUGCACCCA